CCUUGGAAAGAUGAGGAGGGAUUUUUAAUAUGUUCAGAAAUAUUUAUCAGUGCAGAAACUGAAUGUUUAGAAGCCACUGCAAUGAAGAUUAAAUUGGAGCAUUCAGGUUAAUGGAUGGCUAACAUUGUACUGAAGUCUUUAAUACAGGACAGGGAUCAUUUUCGGUACUUUACGAAGACUUUAUUUUAUUUUGAUAAUUCUGUAAGUAUUCUAUCAGGGUCCAGGGAGAAAACACUUAGGAUGCUUACUUAGGGCAAUCUGAGGAGAGAUCAAUCAAGGGACUGAUUCAAAUGUGUGCUUUAGAAACAGGGACGCCAAAAGAUGCACGCGGUAUCCCUGGGGUAGAACAAAAGGGGCUCUGUUGCUACCAGUAGCACUGAAAGGGCAGAGAGAGGAAGUGGUAAUUAUACCAGCACAUAGAGAGGGGAGGGUGCAGGAGGCCAUGUUAUGGGAGCUGAGAUCACAAUGGAGCCAUGCCAAUGCCUUGACCUUGCAAGAGAACCAGAGCCAGUGGAAGGAACACUAUAUCAGCGAGAUGCCAGAAAAACAAAAGGAAACAAAAAACAAUUUAGCUACUACUGUAUCUUGUUGGAGUAGACAGCAACCUUGA
rnacentral:lncRNA from 1 species